GACCUCUAGCUUCCUUACCCAUCAGAUUGAAACACUGGUCCAAGUAGAUAUAAAAGGAGGCAAAGUAAAAUCGAAAUGGAUGUCAAUUUUUCUGUGUGGGGCACAUGAACUAGUCUAAAAGAAGA
rnacentral:snoRNA from 1 species